rnacentral:rRNA from 1 species
AAGGGGCUUCGGCCCUGAGUAGAGUGGCGAACGGGUGAGUAACACGUGGGUGACCUACCUUCGAGUGGGGGAUAACGUUCCGAAAGGAACGCUAAUACCGCAUGACGUUCCGGGUUUGAACACUUGGAAACCAAAGCCGGGGACCGCAAGGCCUGGCGCUAGAAGAGGGGCCCGCGCCUGAUUAGCUAGUUGGUGAGGUAACGGCUCACCAAGGCGACGAUCAGUAGCCGGCCUGAGAGGGCGGACGGCCACACUGGGACUGAGACACGGCCCAGACUCCUACGGGAGGCAGCAGUGGGGAAUUGUUCGCAAUGGGCGCAAGCCUGACGACGCAACGCCGCGUGGAGGAUGAAGGUCUUCGGA